GUCCAAACUGGUCCGAACUGGGCGGCAGGACCGGCUGUACUUCGUGAUGGAAUACGUCACCGGCGGCGACCUGAUGUACCACAUCCAGCAGGUCGGGAAGUUCAAGGAGCCGCACGCGGCUUUUUACGCUGCUGAAAUCGCCAUCGGCCUCUUCUUCCUGCACAACCAAGGGAUCAUCUACAGGGAUCUGAAGCUGGAUAACGUCAGGCUGGACCAAAAAAAAUCC